GAGAAAUGAGAAAAAAUAAAUCAGCAAGAACUACAUAAAGCAAAAUGAAUAUGACAAAAUGGCAUGCAAAAGAUAAAGAGAAGGGUGUAGAGUUGUUGGCAACCACCAAGCUGUGGAUUUUUAAAUUCAUAUAUUUUAUAGUAGACAUCCUGGCAGCUAAACAAAGAACAAAUAGGUGCAUAUAUUAGAACAAGAAGCAAAAUCACAUUGUCGCCUUUCUGAAGCCUGUAAAAAUGAACUUUUAAUUUCAGUGGAGUCGAGACUAUACUUCUUACUGAUUCUCACAGCCAUAUUGAACUAAAGGUAAUUCAGUUUCUUCCCCAAUGAUUUUGUUUGACUCUUUCCCAAAUCCAGGGAUUCAUCCCACUGAAAAGUGACAUUUUGAGAUACAUAAAAAUGGUCAUAUUUGGAGGUCUCCAAUUUCAGCUGUGCUGAUAUCAUAUUGAGCUUUAACAUACCUGCGUUCUGCUUUUAGAUUUCACAGAUGUGCAUUACCAAUUGACCCACUCUGGCACACCCAUUCAAUAUAUGUCCAAAUAUUGCCCCCAAAUUCUCCCUUCCACUUAGGGAACCUCUACUGAAUAAAACUAUAUGUGCAAUAAGAAAAGAGGCAUUUUGGAUUCUCCUUGUUAAGCAUCCAACAGUGCAGUCCUGCACAUCUUUACUCAGGAGUGGGUUUCACAGUAUUCAUUGGGGCUUACUCUGUAGUAAAUGUGUUUAGAAGUUCUUCAACCUUGUUUUCAGGUUCUUCACUGCCAAGUCAUCUCAUGCUGAAGUUCUGAAGGAGUCCAUCUCUCUUCCCAUGAAUUAUUUCUCUUGGUGUAUUCCAUUUACCUUCAUUACAACUUGUUCCUUUACCUGUGUCUUGGGCAUCUAUUUUGCAUUAGGGUUAGGGUUAGGUCUUUAUUAUCUUCUCACAACUGCAUGUUACUGUGUGUUUCAUUGUACAUGAGUUUCCAUUCCUUUCCACAGAGGCAGCAAAACUGUCUGCAGAUGGAUCAGAUGCCUAAGUUGAAAUAAAUGUGAAGAACCAUUUUAUGGCCUGGGGGAAGUUAUGCAUACACCAGAGUUCUUGCACCGGUAGGAAAUGUGCAAAAAUCCAGGUCUUUCUUAUACAUUGCAAUCCUAUACAUAAAUGGAGAAGUAAGUUCAGUGGGACAUUCUCCAGCAAGUGUGUUUAGGAUUGCAGCCAUUAAAAGCUAAUUUCCUUAUUUGCAUUCUUCCUAGAUGAUUUUGGAUUGACCCUGAAAAGAGAGUGCAUUUUUUUUGGGGGGGGGGGGGGGGAAUCAUUGUGCUACAGACAUUGAAAAGGUAAGAGAUUUAGAUUUUCUCUUCCCCCAACCCUAAACUUUUGGAAUUAGUUUGUACUGUGUGUGUUUUUUAAAGAGCUGCCAAAAUGCUGAUUCAUUCCACUUUGUAGAUUAGAUUAUUUUAAAUGUCUUAUAGAGUCAAGCCCUCUUUAUGUCUUCCUCAAUUUGCCACAAUAUUUUGAAAUUGUCCGGGACAUUCCCAUAAGUGAUCUGAGUUUCAUCAAGCUGAAAAUGAAGUCACCAAAGCAAAGCCAUUUCAGUGUUCUUCGGGGUUUUAGGUUUUGCCUUUCUUUUCCUUUUUUUAAUCAAAUCACAGUUCCAGCCAGGUUGUUUCAUUCUUUCCCAUACAUACCACAAAGGAUACACAAAGUUAAUCAAGUGUGGCCAGAUGAAAAGCUGCUUAUGUUGUGUGUAGGAACUGACAUCAAGCAUUAUUUCAGUGACAUCAUGAGAGAUUUUUAGAAUUGGCAAUUAAAUGGGGGGAAAGUGGUUCUAAAUAAUUCUGGAAAAAUGACAUGUGAUGUGGUUCUAUAAAAAAAAAAGUUGGUGUUUCUAGGUCAAAUUUGCCAGAUCUGAAAUUACACAGGCAAUUUCAUUGCACCCCCUUUUCACUGCAGCCAAUCCCGAACUUGAAAUUUGAAAACUCUGCCUUCAUUAGGCACUGAGCAAAAUCCAAAGAAAGCUAAAUCAGAUUAAGGGUGCUUCUAAGUGGGAAACUGCUUAGGUAGGUAUACUGACGUAGCAAACCUGAUACAUGCAAGUCAUCCAUGCAGAUUUCUUUCUGCACCAUUGCUUGUGCCAAAGGCAGACCAAAGAAUUAGCAGCAGGACUGCACCAGUGUCACUGCACUGCAUGGGAAAAAAUUGUGCGUAAAGUCCAGUGUGAUAACUGGUAGGGUAGCAUUUUUCCUUGUACUUUCAAAGAGGUAAUAAAACAUGGAGCUGGUGGUCCUGAAGAAUGGUAUCUAGCUGCAUUUUAAAUGCUCAUGAAGCCAAUGGCUUCAAUCCUAAAUUUCUCCCUUUCAUAUAAGGAGAGCACCUAUUCCACAAACACCCACUCCAUCUGCAUCCCCUGCCCCGCAACAUAACCCAAGCAUUUGGAGGGAAAGAGGAAGCUGGUGAGUGUGGUGCAGAAAGCUGUAUCCUGAAAAAAUGAACCCAGUAAUAGUCAUGGGAAAAGUUAAGAUCAAAGCCACUUAAUUUCCUCAUUCAAACUUACCUUUACCUGUAUUGUAUCCACCCUUAUAAAAUGUAAUAAAUGUUUAGUAACAUCAACUUGGUUUUAAAAUACGUUCUUUGUGCUCAUACUUGGAGGAUACAUCCUGUUUGUUCUUCCUCGUGUACAUGAAAAUGUUUGCAGAUCUUCCCUGGGGCCAAUUGAAGAAGUGUGAAAUGAUUUGCUAGGGAGACCACUUUGUAGACAGACACUCUCAAGUAGAAUAUAUAUCAUCAUUUUGUGAUAUAAUCAAGUAAAUGUUGACAAUGACUUUUAGGCAACUGAUCCUGAUCACUGGUAAAUCUCUGACUUUUCAGAGAGUUACAUUUGUUUGGGAUUGUCAGCGUGUGAAUGUUAUAUACCAAAUAUUGGACAUUCGCUACAGUUUGUGUGUGUGUGUUGUCUAUCUGUGUAUGCACACACAUAUUCAGAACUCUCUGGUAUAUGUACAGAUAUUCACAACAUUUACAUGGAACUGUGAACAUUUGCAUGUGAAUAAUCAAAUUUGGACAUUCACUGUAUGUGUGUGUGCGCGCGCACACACACAUCUGUAGCUGCCAACUGAUGCAAGAAUGGGUUAUAUUUACAUGACUCCAUUAGUUUAACCAUAAACAGCUGCUUUAAUUCAUACCAUAUUCUCUUCAAUUCAGAAUUACAUUAGUUUUAAGGAGAUUAAAUGGUCGCAAUCCAGAGAAUCACCUCUUCACAGAGAAACAGGUGUCUGCCAAUGAGUUCAUGAGAUGUAAGAAGGGGAAUCUGCAGUGCUUCAGACACCCAAUAAUAUUUGUGGUGUUCAAGUUGUGCCUCUUUAUAAGUACAGUACAUAUUGUCCAAAUAUUUUCUCCUUUUAAGCUUUUAGGCUACAAAAUCAUUUAUUCUGGAGCAGUACCAGUCCACUAAUAACCCAGUCCUUGUGACACCAUUUCAGAGGUACUUAGGUAUAUUAUUAAUAAGUUUAUGACAGAUGCACAACUUCCCAAAGAUGACAUUAUGCUGGCAUUAUCUGCAUCAAGGCAGAUAAAUUUAACUGCAGUGCCAUAUUUUCCAGUCUGAAUUUAAUGCGACUGCCCUUUAAAACGUUAUUGAGCUAAUUGACAUGAUUCUGUGGUUUUAGAAAAAAAGAAGAAGAAGAAGCAAAGCAGAUGUGUAUUAUUAAUCCUAAUCUAAAACAUUGGUUUUUGAAUGUUUUCUUACUUGUAAGCACCAAAAUAUCUUGGAACAUAUAAUAAAAAAACAAGAAAACAGAAAUCUGAGAUGGGAAAACGGAGUUGCUGGAAACGGACCUUUUAGCAGAGCAUUUUUCCUAUACAUUAACCACAUUUUAGUGAUAGAUAAUGUUAAACAGGCACAAUUGUGGAGGAAAAGUACAAAACAGUGGAUUUUAAUAGAUCCCCUCCCACAAGCAAACUGAUAGGUGAGUUAAUUUAAAAUCCUGCUGCUCAUAGAAUUUCUAUAGUGGUUCUGGCUACAUUUCUCUGACCAAUGACCAUCUGGAAAGGCUGUCUAUGGGGCUUCCCAGAUUAUCAGGGUGAAUUCAGUAAGGGCAUGAUCUACACAUGUCCCUGAUGCACGGGCCACUUCCUGACUAUCUAGUUUUCACAAGUGAGCCCUGUCAAGGCCCAGACGUAUCUGAACUCCAGGCAAAUGCUCUCUUUCUGCAAAAGUGGCUAUAACUAGUAGAAAAAAACCAUGAUAGCCUCUGACUGGAAUCUGAAUAGAGAAAUGCUUCACAGGUUGCUUCUGUAUUGUAACAUACUGGCACAGCCUUCCCCAAUCUGGUGGUUUGGUGUUUUGGAUUACAGCUGCCAUCAGCUGAUAGGGUGUAUACCGUAUUUUUCGCUCUAUAGGACGCACUUUUUCCCCUUCAAAAAUGAAGGGGAAAUGUGUGUGCGUCCUAUGGAGUGAAGACGCCAUAGCCCCGCGACCCUCUCCCAGCUGGAGAGGUGACACACGGCUAUGGCAGGAGCCUCUUUAGCUGUGCGCCACCUCUCCAGCCGGGAGAGCGCGCGCGGGGCUAAAGAAGCCCCCCGUGACCCUCUCCCGGCUAGAGAGGUGACGCGCGGCUAUGGCAGGAGCCUCUCCGCUGUGCCUUUCCGCUGCUCCCUGACCUGCUCUUUGGGGCUGGUGGUGGACUUCCCCCCGCCAGCCCCAAAGAGCAGGUCGAAAGGAACCUGAAGCCUGGAGAGCGAGAAUGCAGGUAGCCGCCUGAAGGCACCUUAAACGGCACCUUGUUUUAGAGCGGGAAAACAAGAGGGGGGAAAUGCUCCGGCAUGGUUACUCUCACAAACUGCAGUGAUACACCACUGUUUUGUGGGAUAUUAAACUAAUAAUUCAUGUUUUGCCAGACAGGUGCAUGAAAGGACUGAGGCUCACAGAGCUUUCCUGGUGGUGCCUCCAAAAGUGGGAGACUCCUUUGACCCCCUCCGCAGCAGCAGCAGCAGGAGGAGCUGGCCACUGAAGCUGUGCCGCACUUGGGUCCACGUUUGGCCUCUUCCUCCUCCCCCUGGUCUUUUGGGACAUGGGGGGCCCGGCCUCUCAAAAAAUAUUGGGGGAAACCAAAAGGGCUCAGCCCCCAGGAGUUGGCAGCCCUGCUUGAGGCACAGGUAGUCUCGGUGGCUAGUAGUCCCUUUUACCAGCUUCAGUUGGAAAGACAACUACAGCCAUUCCUGGACCAAAAGAGCUCAGCCACUAUAUUUUUGAUGUGGAUAACCUCAAGAUUGGAUUACUGCAAAGUGCUCUAUUAUGGCUUCCUUUGGGCUUAAUCUGGAAGGUGCAACUGGUGCAGAAUGCAGCAGUGAGAUUGUUGACUGGGGUAGCCCAUCACACCAUAUAACCACCUGCUGAAGGAACUGAACUGGCUACCAAUGACACAGUUCAAGGCCCUGCUUUUAGCAUUUGAAGCCUUAAAUGACUUGGAACCAGGAUAUCUAAGGGGCCACCUUGUACACUAUAUCCCUGCCCAGCAACUGCUCUUCUUGGAUUGAGCACGGCUGAGAGUACCAUAUGCCCCAGAGGUGCACUUAGCCUGCACUAGAAACCAGACUUUUAGUGUUGCAGCUCCAGUUAUCUGCAAUAAAUCACCAGCUGAAAUCGGACAAGUGCCUAGCGCAAUGAUGUUCAGGUGCCUACUGAAGACAUUUUUGUUUAGGAAGGCUUUCCUUGAGGUGCAACCCAGUCAUUUAUGGAAGAUCAAUUUUAUAUCUGAUGAAAUGGUUUUGCUGUUUUUAGAGUCUGUAUGGAUGGUUUUAUUGUUUUAUAGUUUGCUGAAUUGAUGUUCUUGUUCUCUGAAGCACUUGUGUUUCAGUAUUUGAUUCUCCUUUUUUCUUUUUCUUUUUACUGUGUCCACUGCUUCACACAAGCAAAUGUGUGCAGGAUUGGGGGCAGCAACUGCUUUGACAGCAGAACAUCACAAUGUGUGGCUUUACCAAGCAAAGAUAAACCUGUAUUUGGCAACGGUGCAUAGCUGACAGCCCUUAUUUCAAUAUAGUAUUGAAGUAUCAGGAUUGCCAUGAGAGUACAGAAAUGGGAAGAGGUGACAAGCCUAUAAGGUAAAAGGUAAAGGACCCCUGGACAGCUAACUCCAGUCAAAGGUGACUAUGGGGUGCAGUGCUCAUCUUGCUUUUCAGGCUGAGGAAGCUGGCAUUUGUCCACAGGCAGCUUUCCGGAUCAUGUUCCCAGCAUUACUAAACCGCUUCCGGUGCAACGGGACACCGUGAUGGAAGUCGGGGUGCACAGAAACACCAAAUACCUUCCCACCACAGGUAUCUACUUGCACUGGUGUGCUUUCAAACUACUAGGUUGGCAAAGGCUGGGGCAGAGCAACAGAAGCUCACCCCAUCUAGUGGAUUCGAACCGGCAACCUUCCGAUUGGCAAGCCCAAGAGGCUCAGUGGUUUAGACAACAGUGUCACCUGCAUCCCUGGAAACCUGUACCUAUACUCAGAACUAAGUCCCACUAUGUCCAAUAGUGGGAUUAACCCCCAGUGAACAUGUGAACAUGUGACAAAGACUGUGUACACAUUAGUGGCUUAAAACUGAUCAUUCUUUUUCUCAACUUGGAUUGAAACUGGUUUGGGGAAAACACAUCAAAACUAUGUAGACACACCUGCUUACUCUGCAUCCAGUACAUUCCCAUUGCUGGUUUUGGAAGCAAUAUACACUCAAUCCAUCUAUCCUGUUUUUGCUUGGGAAAUACUGUGUUUUGAUAUGGUUUUCCCCAAACCAGCAUCAAUCCAAAUUGAGAAAAAGAAUACCCUAGCUAAGUUUUAAGCCAUUAAUGUGUACACAGCCACUGCAUUUCAUGAGAACCCGCAGGUUAGAUACAGGAUAGAUAGGGAUUAUAGCUAACAUUGUGUGUACACUUCUUCCCAAACCAGUGAUGGGAGUGCACUGAAUGCAAAUUAAAUGAGAACGUGUGCACAGCCAAAGUCCCAGGGGCUUAACACCGAAGUAAACAUGCAUAGAAUUGUUCUGUGCAAGUCUUUUGGCCUUCUCCCCCCAUGCAAGUCAGUUAUGUCAGUGAAACACUUCACACCUGAUAUAUCGUCGUAACCUUUUUAAAAAAUGGAUUGCCACUGGAGAGCUGCAUAACAAGAUGUGUGUCUCUGAAUUUGGAGACACACCAUUUCCCAAAGAAUUAAGGUGGUCCAAUACAGCCUACAUUGCUCGUAGUGCACACACUCUGAUUUCUUUUGCCAUGCCAUUAGCUCUGGUUGAACAGUUGGCUUUUCUUUCAAGUGCUGCAAGAACGUGGAAAACCUGUUUGAUCAGGGAUGGUUAUGGGACAGAAAGAGAAAUGAGUGCAUGUAUAUGCUACAAGCAACACUGAACAUCAGAAGAGGCUGCUAGAUCAGGCUAAUGGCCCGUCGAGUUCAGCAUCCUGUUCUCGCAGUGGCCAACUCAUACCUCUAUCUCACACCAUCUCUCACCAGCCUCAAUCGCCUUACAUAAGAUGUUACUGAAAUUAAGCAAGCGAACUCAAUGUAUACCAAGAGGACUAAGCAGUAGAUUAGAUUCUCAGGGCAAUUAGUUCUGGCCAAGUUCCCUUUAACUCCAGUGCCUGCAAUUAAUUUGCUCAUUUCCUGAGCCCCUGCACAUUCUCAUUGACCCUUUGUCAACUGAAGUGCAACUCAGAAAACAAGAGAGAGGGGGGGCUUUUCAGUUGUGGCAUCUUUGCAAGGAUUAUGCCCUUAAGACGGGCAUGUCUGAUCCCCUCUUUGCCCACUUUUAAGACUGCUUUAUCUGUUGUCAUCUUUUAUACGAUGUGCUUUUUACUGCUAUUUGUUUAAUGCGUUGUAUUGUUGGGCUUUUUUAUAUCCUAGAUUUUGAUUAUGUCUCAGAAUGAUGGCAUAUAAAUGUUGGAAUCAAAUAAAUAAUUAUUUUCACUGAAUUUAGAGCCCUGGUUCACACAUCCAUUUUUGUCUCUUGGUGACUACAAACAUGUGAAACCGCCAUCAUUGAUGAAUCAAACCAAAAGGAGGGGUUUUGUAUUGCCUACCGUACUUCAACUCAAUACUUUGCCAUGUAAGCAAUUCAUACAUUCAUGUUUGUGUCACUGAGUAGUGAGCUACCAAGUGAUGAACAUGCAUUAUGUGAAUAUGCCCUUAUAAGAGUCCUGAUUCUUUGAACUACAUGUUUAGGAACAUCAUGCUGGCCAUUAUUUAUAAAUUCAACUACUGUCCCUCAUGGUUUCCACAGAAACUGAGCCAGACGACCAAAUUCAACACAUUUUCAUCAGGC